GGUGGCUCAGUGGUAGAGUGCUUGCCUUGCAUGCAAGAGGCCCUGAGUUUGAUUCCACAGCACCA
rnacentral:tRNA from 1 species